rnacentral:rRNA from 1 species
AUUGAACGCUGGCGGCAGGCCUAACACAUGCAAGUCGAGCGAGCGGCGGACGGGUGAGUAAUGUAGGGGGAUCUGCCUGAUAGAGGGGGAUAACUACUGGAAACGGUGGCUACUACCGCAUACUAGAGGUUGAACCCAUAUGGGAUUAGCUAGUUGGUGGGGUAAAGGCUCACCUAGGCGACGAUCUCUAGCUGGUCUGAGAGGAUGAGCAGCCACACUGGGACUGAGACACGGCCCAGACUCCUACGGGAGGCAGCAGUGGGGAAUAUUGCACAAUGGGCGCAAGCCUGAUGCAGCCAUGCCGCGUGUAUGAAGAAGGCCUUAGGGUUGUAAAGUACUUUCAGCGGGGAGGCGUUACCCGCAGAAGAAGCACCGGCUAACUCCGUGCCAGCAGCCGCGGUAAUAC